AUUGAACGCUGGCGGCAGGCCUAACACAUGCAAGUCGAACGAGUGGCGGACGGGAGAGUAAUGUCUGAGAAACUGCCUGAUGGAGGGGGAUAACUACUGGAAACGGUAGCUAAUACCGCAUACCCUCAGUUGUGCCAAGAUGGGAUUAGCUAGUUGGUGGGGUAACGGCUCACCAAGGCGACGAACCCUAGCUGGUCUGAGAGGAUGACCAGCCAAACUGGAACUGAGACACGGUCCAGACUCCGACGGGAGGCAGCAGUGGGGAAUAUUGCACAAUGGGCGCAAGCAUGAUGCAGACAUGCCGCGUGGAUGAAGAAGGCCUUCGGGUUGUAAAGUACUUUCAGCGGGGAGGCGUUACCCGCAGAAGAAGCACCGGCUAACUCCGUGCCAGCAGCCGCGGUAAUUG
rnacentral:rRNA from 1 species